UGAGAAGGCACCACUGCACUUUGGCCUGGGCAACAGAGUAAGAUAUGUCUUCAAAAAACAGUAAGUAAAAAAUUAGCUGGGCAUGAUGGUGGGCGCCUGUAAUCCCAGCUACUUGGAAAGGAUGAGGCAGGAGAAUUGCUUGAACCUGGGCCUCUGCUCUUGCUUUUUCCCUGUCUGGAAUCUGCUUCCCUCAGAUAGCUGCAUCACUCAUUUCCCUUAUUUCUUCAAGAUUUGCUAAUAACUUCUCUGUGAGGCCUUUCUAAACACACACACAUGCACAGGCACACAUGACAUUCCCAUUUCCAAGGCACUCAACAUAAGACAAACUAAACAUUUCAAUCUCCAAUGGUGACUUCCACCUCAACUCCUGGCUCAGUACUGAUGGAAGUAAUCUGCUUAACAAUCUCAGAAAGGAUGUGCAAGUUUGAACUGGUCCUUUCACUUUGAGAUUCUUUUUCUUCGCUCCUCUGAUCAAGUCAGCACACACCUUCUCCAGGGAUUUUAUGCUGUGGCUCAUAGAGAGUGAUUCGAAUUCAGUGAAUUGCUAUCUCCGGCUCCAUGGGUGUUUUUCCAGCAUCUUUAAAAGCCACGGCUGCUGUGCGGCUUCCUGACCGACCGGUUCCUCUGCGAGAGCAACAGCAGUACAGCAGGAGCAGGAGCGGGCUGACCACAGCUCAGCACUACCUUCAACAGCGUCUUCCUCAAAGAGCUCUAAUUUUUUUUUUUUUUGAGACAGAGUCUCCCUCUGUAGCCCAGGCUGGAGUGCAGUGCCGUGAUCUCGGCUCACUGCAACCUCCGCCUCCUGGGUUCAUGCCACUCUCCUGCCUCAGCCUCCCGAGUAGCUGGGAUUAUAGGCAUGCGCCACCUCACCUGGCUGAAGUAUUUUUAGUAAAGAUGGGGUUUCAUCAUGUUGGCCAGGCUGGUCUGGAACUCCUGACCUCAAGUGAUCCGCCUGCCUUGGCUUC
rnacentral:lncRNA from 1 species